UUGAAUCUAGAAAAGCAAAAAAAAGUGUUUGAAGUGGCUCAAGGUGCUAAGGAAACUGAAACUAGUCUGUUUGAAUUUGACAAGGCUAAAAAAGUGACUGAAGUGUCUCAGCAAGAUAAAAGAAGUGAUACUACUAUUUUAUUUUAUUUGUGUAACUUUUUUUAGUAAGCUGAAUUGAUUUCUUGGGCAUUUUGACUUACAGUUAGUUUUGCAGAUUUGUUUGAAUCUAGAAAAGCAAAAAAAGUGGUUGAAGUGGUACAAGAUGCUGAGGGAAUUGAAACUAAUUUUGCAGGUCCAUGUGAAACAGAAAGGGCAAAGAAUGUGAGGGGAACAAAUAUUUGUAAGAAUGUUUUGCGAUUGAGACCUGGAGAAAAAUUAAAAGUCACUUUCUAUCAAAAUCGAGUCGUCGGGCAGAAUCACACCUCAUUUAC